AUGAUGGCUCAGCGCAGCGCGCUCCUCCUCCUCCUCUCCACCAUCUUCGUCCUCCAGCUCCUCCUCCCGGGGACUAAAGCCGCAGCAGCGCCGACGACCACCUCGCCUCUCGACGACGACGCGGCACAACGACAACCGUCCUUGCAGAGUCGCCGUGGUCGUCCCACGGCCGCUAGGAGGCUGCUGCUGCAGCAGCAGCCAAGCAGCGCCACGGCCACCAACUCCUUCGACGUCAAUGGCGCCCGUCACGCGGCCGCGGCGGCUAACGCGAAGCCGAGCGUGGAGUUCAACGCCGGCGUGAAGCCGCUGCCGCCUGUGGGGAGAUCAAAUGCAAAUCCCCGGAAUAAUUAG
rnacentral:rRNA from 1 species